rnacentral:misc_RNA from 1 species
GACAUUUCCUGAGUCGUCUUCGAACGGACAAGGCUGUAUCUUGCUCGGUGAUUUAUAGUCUUGUGUGUAGUUGUGCAACUUUCUUCCAUUGUUCUACAAGAAACACGAGCCAGAUACAGUCUCACCGUUUGAGAUGGCAUUGGAACGGGCGGAGGAACUUGCUGUUUGCAGCGAUGCUGGGCGUACCGCAGAAUUGGGGACCCCAUGUUCUAGUCUCUACACCUUUCAUUGGUUUGGUUUGUAAACUGUAUCGGAACCAAUGCAUUUCUAUUUGCAAUAUUUUUGUAAUAAUAUACCAAUCGAGUUCGUCAAACAAGUUAAAAGAGCGUUUGAUUCGAUAUUUUUUUUUUUUUCAGAAGUAUGGCGGUUUACGUAAAAAAAUGUGUACUUAUAUAGCUUAAAGAAAAUUUGUAUAGUCAAUUUAACCUUUAUAGAUUUAAAUAGCGUUUUAAAUGUUUACUUAAUGAUCGAAGAAUAAUUUUAUAUGUAGAUUUUGUACUUACUUAUAAAUGUUAAUUAACAGUUUUGUAAAUAUUGUGAUACAGCAAAACAGCAGCGGAAAAAAUAAAAAAGAAUGGUAAAAAUUAAAAAUGUUAAUAAUUUUCCUAUGAUUUUUAAAUCGCCAUAUUAAUGCCAAAAAUCCUUUUCAGUCCAGCAUACUACAUAAAAUUCUGUCGAACGCAAGAGUGUCCCGCACGUGUGUCCAGGCUGUUGGUCGUCAUCGGCGACACUAUUUGGCCUGUCUAUAUAUGAGAUAAGGAAUGGUGAGAGGAUUGGUAUGGGAUGAACAAAGGGGCAAAAUCUUUGUUUUUAGAAAUUUGCACACCACGAUCAAGUCGUACAUAAACGUCUUCUCAUGUUCGCGCUUCCGUAUCUUGAACAUCUGAGCAUCGACUAAUUCAAAAAUCAAUGUGAUGCGUGAUAUACAUAGGCUUACUGUGACAUACUGCAGCAACCUCGAGCAAGUUCUAUUUUGGUGAGCUAAUCCCUUCUGUUCGUUACCUGUGCAAAUAUAUUUUCUCAGGUCCAGAAAAAUUUUUCCAAUGUUUAUGCAACCGAGUUCUAUAUAUGGGUUUCCCUGGCUUAUUAAUAAAUCCUGUUCAAAGUUGAUCAAGCUGGAUACUAGACAUCAUAUAUAUUGUCCCAUUUGAAUUAAAAUGUAUAAAAGCUUCAAGGUAUGGAGUAAAUUAAAUGCAUCUUUGUUGAAUUUAGAUGAUCCAGUAAGGCGAGUUACUGCAAGUAGCACAACUAAUUUUAAUAAUAGGCAUGCAUAUAAAAUAUAAACAGCUCAAUUUGAAUAGGAAAUUGCUACAAAUUUUUUACUAUAUUAAAUAUAUUUUUUUGGGAAUCAUUACUAGAUACUUACUUUUCACAGAUUUUGAUAUUAUUUCGCUUACUCAUUGGGUCGUAGAGCAAGAAGAACUUAAUGUAUCAUUAGAUUAACAAAAAAAAUUCCUGAUAAGUGAUGUGCAACAGGGUUAUGGAAGUAAAGAGACCGAUUUAAUAUUACAGUUUAAUUGAUUUGAGAAAUACAUUGAGAAUUAACGAAUACUCUGAAAAAAUUUUUUAAUAAUAGUAGGAAAGCAGUGAUCAAGGAUGAACAAGCAGGAUAUUUCUAAAUUAAAUUUUUAAGUAUAACAUGUAGAUAAUAUUUUUAUAUUUUGAUUUUAAAAAACAAAAUUAUGUUUAAUGUUUUUAAAUUCCAAGGAAGUACAUCAUCAAUGAUUCAAUUCUCGGAUGUUGGAAAUUGUUUACAAUUAAUUGUACAAUCAUAAUUAAGCAAGUUAAAGGUUUGAUUUGAAGUUUGUUCAAAGGAAUUUAAUUUCUUCUACACAUGGUUGCAAAUGCAAUGUGAAGUAUCAUGCUUUUAUAAUUGUUUUAAAUAUUUUUUCUUGAAAUAUUGUGGUUCGGGUGUUUGUUUUGUACUGCAGGAAUACCCAAUUUCGUAAUCAUGGUGUACAACUAAACAACUACAAGCAGUUAUUUCUAUUCCUGGAGCAUGUUGGAUUCGUAUUGCAAAGUGGUAUGUUGAUUAGAAUGAUCUAGUUCCGAGUUGUAGGGGUGGGAGGGAGUUACUAUGUUUCAGCUAAGCUUGGAUAGAGAAAAAAUCUAUUUAAUCGACGAGGUAUAUAAAGAUGUACUGAAAAUAUAUUUUGGUAACUCCUAAUUGGAUAAAUAUGAAUAAUUUUUUAAUCUUAAUAAAUAUCACAAUCUAUAUAUCUAUUUAUAUAACUGCAUUUUUGACAAGAAAUAUUGAUAAAAAAAAAAGGUAAAAAAAUCCGAUUUUUAAAAUAGAAAAGGUAUGUUUUGGUUGAAGGUAACAAUUUAAUAUGAUCAAUGAUUUGUAAUAAAUAGUUGAAAAAAACGAGAAAUAGGUGAAAUUAUUAUACUGUAAGCUGCAGGUUUGGUAUUAUAUUUAUCUUUCAUCAUAAUGGAUGCUAUAUUAUCGAUGACAUUUUAUAAUAAUGGAGAUAUAUCCUAUAUUAUAUCUGCAAUACCAGGAAAUAAUUCUACAAUUUCAACUAUUUGAACUAUUCACAAUUAUAAUAGAUAAACAUGAUGCAAUAUAUUUCAUUCGGCUGAAGAAGAAAUUCAAUUGACAAUGGAAACAGAUUUCUGCUAAAAGAAGAGUAAAACUGAUUGUAAUAUAUAUCAUUGUUUACUAUUUUACGUUUAACUAUUUUAGAUCUACAAAAAUUGACAUUUCAUUUUAAUAAAUGUAUUUUAAAAUUACAUUUGACCUUGAUAUUUUUAUAAUUUAUCAAGACAUAGGUAUAGGACAUAGGUCUAGGAAAAAGGAGACAAAGGAAUAAAGCUGCCGAUGGUUUUAUUUUUUCACAAUGAGAAAAAGGCGGAUUAGUAUAUAUUUCAAAUAAUUUAAAUAUAAAAUUAGUUAUAGCAUGUUAAUAAGCAUGGUAGUGUUAUAUUCAUAGAAAUGCUCAAAUUAUCGUUAUUUAAAUAUACCUGUUUUGGCUCUUUUGGAUGUUUGUGAUUUUUGCUUCAGGAAAUCGAAGAUAAUUUUAUUCUUAUAUGAAUUUUAUGAUAAAUUUUCUAUUCUAUGGAGAAAAAUGCUAUGAAAUACACCUGAAUAUGUAUGUAUUAUAUAAAUAUUAUUUUUAUUAUAUUUAGAAAACGAUGCCGGAUAUAUGAACAGUAUAAAUAUAAAGCUUAUAUUCAAGAUAACAACGGGGUGAAUAACUAUCGAUAUUUGAUAUAUUUAUGAAGAUAAGUUUUCAAUUAUAUUUAAAUAUGAUAAUAUAUAAGUUGAAAUAAAUUUUUAUUGAAAUUUUUUAUUUAAAAGAAAAAGAUGAAGGAUUAAAUUACUAACUUUAUAGUAUCUAGAUACAUUUCAGAAAAUUUGUGAUAUAGAAAAAAAUUUUCUAAAUGGAAGAGAGGUCAUUGUUAUAUCAUCUUAGCCGAGAUUUGAUUAAGACUUGGCUGAAUCUAAAUUUAUUUUAGAUAAUAAAAAAAGUAUGUGUCAGGUAAAUUAAAUGUUCAAAAAACUUACAUAUUUUAAAAAUGUAUUUAAAAUAUGUUGUUAAAAAUAACUUCGGUUAUAUCAAGAUUAUAGUUUAUCUAAAUUGAUGAACAUGAGUUUUCAUUUUCGAUUUUACUUUUUGAAGAAAAUAUCGAAUAUUAAAUCGAAUAUAUCUAUUCAAGAAAAAUUUAAAUCAAGAUAAAUUGUUACAACUUGAAAUGCUGAUUACGUUCAAUUAAAUGGAUCAUUGGAUAAUUGAAAUAUAUUCGACAAGAUUUUUAAAUUAAUAACUUUAUAAAUCUCUCCUAAUUAGAAAAGAAAUAUAAAUGUUCUUUUUUUUUUUAUUGAGAAAUGAUUUUAAAUCUAAUAAAUAAUGAUCUGAAAUUAAUUCGAGUAAAAUCUGUCGUACAUACAACAAUUGAAGAUUUUGAAUGUAAAAAAAAUUGACGCAAAAUUAAAAUAGGAUUUAAUUUUUCAUUAAAAAAUUUAAUGAUGAGUGUACAUUUUCAGAACAUAUUUGAAAAUAUUUAAAAAAAUAUAUAUAUAUAAAAUUGAAGUAAUUUUCUUUGUAAUAAAAAAUAAUAUAAAGUGAAUAGAAUAAUAGAAAUACAAAUAGUAAUCUAUAACAUCUGACAUAGUUCGAAUUAUUAAAAAUGAUUAUAUUCUUCAAAAAACAUAACCUUAAGUUAGUAUUAAAUCAAUAUUAAAAUACAAGUUUCAAUUUGAAUAUAAUUAAAAAACUAUACUAUCAUAAAAACAUAGAAGAAAAACAAAGUUGAUUAUAAUGUAUUGUGAAAGUAAUAUAUAACAAUAAUAAUUUAAGAUAUGAAAAUUUAUAUUGAUAUUCGAAAAAUUUAAAUUGCAUUCACUACAUAUUAUUUCGUAAAAUUGUAGAAGAGAAUCAACGUGGGAUUUUAUGGUAUAUCUACUACAUUGUGAGUACUACAAAGUUCUUUUGAAGGAGAUAUAGAUCUAAUUGGUUGAUUAUGAUAACUACACAUUCACAAAAAUAAAUAUGAAAUAAAUGCCAAAUAUAUAAUAUAUGUUGAUGAAUAAAAGAUACGAGUAUUUAGUUUUGCUUGCGAGCAAAAGGCAAAAUAGCUUUUUGCAAUUUCAACGAAUAGAUGCAAAUUUUAAUAAUAGAAGAUGCUACCAAUUAAAUAAAUUUAAAAUUAUUAAUGGAGAACUUUAGAGAAACAAUAAGAUUUUAUAAAAUCCAAAUGAAAAUAUUAUCGCGAAACUAAAUGGCAUUCAAAAAAAAUUAUCAAUGUGAAUUUUUAUAGAAUUUAAAAAAAUGCUAUUAAUAUGGAUCUUUAUAGGAUUCAAAGGAGACUCGAUACGAGUCUUUCUAGGAUUCAAAGAUUAUCAACGUAGGAUUCAGAAGAAAUUAUCACAGGAUUUCGAAGGAUUUAAAGAAGACUAUCAACGCGGGACUUCAUGAAAUUCAGAAGAUCGACUCAGGAUUUCGUGAGAUUCGGAAAAGGUUACUGAUGCGGGACUUCGUGGGAUUCAAAAAACUAUCAACGCGGGACUUUGUGGGAUUCGAAGAAAGACUAUCAACGUGGGACUUCGUGGGAUUCAAAGAAGACUAUCAACGCCGGACUGUGGGAUUCCAAGAAGACUAUCAACGUGGGACUUCGUGGGAUUUAAAGAAGAGUAUCGACGUGGGACUUCGUGGGAUUCAAAGAGGACUAUCGACGUGGGACUUCGUGGGAUUCAAAGAAGACUAUCGACGCGGGACUUCGUGGGAUUCAAAGAAAACUAUCAACGCCGGACUGUGGGAUUCAAAGAAGACUAUCAACGCUGGAUCGAAGGAUUCAAAGAAGACUAUCAACGUGGGACUUCGUGGGAUUCAAAGAAGACUAUCAACAUCGGACUGUGGGAUUCAAAGAAGAUUAUCAACGUGGGACUUCGUGGGAUUCAAAGAAGAUUAUGAACGCAGAACUUUGUGGGAUUCAAAGAAGAUCAUCAAUACGGUUUAAUGAAAUUUCAUGAUAAAUUAUUAAUGCGGGAUUUUAUAGGAUUGUAGGAAAGCGCCUUCGUAUUCAAAAAAAGACUUCGAUGAAAUUUGUAAUCCAAAAAACCGUCAUUGCCAGAUAUCAUGAAAUUCAAAAGGAAUAUUAAAAAAAGAUUUAAUGAAAUUUAAAUAUUAGCGAGAUAAAUUUUUAAAGAUAUAAAAAAUUAUUGAAAUUGGAAUUAGAAACAAAUCUCAAAUUCUGAUAUUUGAAACUUAUUACCAAAUACAAGUGUGUUACUUAAUGAAUUUUCUAAAGAAAGGAUCUGCUUAUUUCUAUUUUAUUCACAUAUUUAUGAUAUUGCUAUAUUAACUGAUUCAUAUGCUAUGAUAAUAUAUUCAACGAAAUUAGGAAACUAUGUGAAUGUGAAAUAGAAAUAAAAAUUAUGAUAAAUAGAUUUUUUUUCGUAAUCGAUUAUCAAUCAUUCAAAUAUAGUUAUGUAUCUUUUUUAAUUUUUAUUAAUAAAAUUUUAGUAAUUGUUUUAUAUUUGUAAAAUAUAUGGAAAUUUUAUUCUUUCCAACUUUUAUUUUAUCAAGAUAUCACGAAUAAAACGUAAUAAGACAUAAAUAUUUAUUUUUCAAAAAAUGCUAUUGAUAAAUUUCUAUCUUAACAAAUCGAUAUUGCAUAUUAUGCGAGUCUAUACAAGUAAAAUGUUAAACAUGUAAAUUUUUUAUCUUGAAUAUCGUGAUAUCUUAUUUCCAAUAGCUUAAUUCAGAAAAGAAUUGCUUGGCAAUCGUGAAUCCAUAUUUUUUAACUAUUGGUAGAAUGUAAGAUGUUAAAUAUAUAAAUAUGUACAUACUGUAAAUUGAAAACUAAUUUGGAUUGUUACGGAAUUUAAAAAUAGUUUUAUUAUUAAAAAGUUUUUUUAAUUAAAAAUAUUUUUUAAAUUUCAUAUGUGAAAUAACUGCGAUAAUAAAAUAAAAAUAUUAAACAAAUUGAUUUAUAGAAAAUUAUAUUUCGCUGAUAAUAAAUUAAAAUAAUAGUUUCAAAUAUUAAUAAUAUUCAAUCGAGUAGAAUAAAUUUUUUAAUGGACUAUAUAUUUUGAAGUAUCUUUCACAUAAAAAAUUAGAAUUUUUGGUAUUUCAUAUAAUUUAAAAUAGAUAUAUGACAAGAUUUAUAUUUAAUUUAAUAAAAAUUUGAUGAAAUUCCUAGAUUUUAAAAAUAAUUUCUUUAAUAUAAUUCCACAUUUGUCAAUCAAUUAUAAAUAAAAAUAUAAAAUAAAUUAACAAAUUUUAACAAAUUAAUGAUCAAAUAAAAUUUUGAACUUUGAAACUUGUACAGCUCUAAAUCGCACUA